GUAAAAGAUAUUUUCAAACUACCUUGACCCCAGUAGAAAGUGAGGCAAAUACAUCCAAGGAGAUGAAGGAUAAGACCUCUGAAGAAAAGAUGCCUGAUUUUCAGAGCACAGCUCUCAAGGCUGAAGAAUCCAGGAGCUUGAGAACUGAAUCAAACACUUCAGUGAGCCCAAAUUAUGGGCUUAUCUCUGAUUCUUUGAUAUUUUUUCCAAGAUGAAAAGAGACAAAGGAUAGAGAUUCAAGAAAAGAAGAGAAAGAAAAAUCACAUAAAAUAUUGGGAGUUUCCUUCCUACCCUUACCCAUCUUUCUUUUCCAUGUUCCUCUUAAAUAUUACAAACCAAAUUCCUUGGAA
rnacentral:lncRNA from 1 species